rnacentral:lncRNA from 1 species
CUUUUACAGGCAAUGACUGCACAGCCUGCAAGAGGCCUGUUUUGGACAUUAGUUGUUAAUGUAAGUAAUAAUGAUAAUGAAUUGCCUACUUGAAUGUUGUAUACAUAUGUCUAAAAGGGUUGCCUUUUAAAAAUAGAUAAUGAAUAGAAUAGGCUUUGGACAAAUGUGAUCUCUGAAUGAAGGCAUCUUCUUGUUUAUUAACAGCCACAGGUGUUCUGAGUCCAUGUCUUCCAGGCCAGUGACCCUGAUUGUAAAGGUCACUUUACAUACUGUCAUUUCAUGACUUCUGGCUUUCUCAUGAUGGAUUAAAACAACAAAGGAAUCAGAAAGAAAAAAAGGGAGGGGGAGCUGAUGGGAGGCAAACUCAAUGAGACAUUGCAUUGCUUUUUCUGUAGUCUCUGGUUCCUGGUGAGAGGUGAGAGCAGCAUCCUGGUGGCCUCCUGUAGAGAUGGGGGCUGUUUGGCCGAAUCCCUCUCUCUGCUUGAUCAGCUCACAAAGAGCUUGUGUGCGCUAUGCUGGUAAUCCAGCUCAUCUGUUUCAUCUGCCUCCUGUGAGAUAGGGGAAUAAAAAAUAGGUAAAAUACUCUAGAGAAGCUUGAAAUGACUGAUGACAUUGUCAUGUGGUAUCACUUGGGCUUGCAUAUUAAGUCAUGCUUCCCUCUGCUAUGUCUCCCACUUCUGGAAAAGAAUUUAAAAUCAAACAGGAUAGCUUGAUAGGUAGAAAGCAGAAAUGUGUACAUUACAGGUUAAAUCUGACUUUUUUCUCUGGGAGAAAUAAACUAAGAACAUGAAAAUCGGGGCUCACAACCCAGG